rnacentral:rRNA from 1 species
GACGAACGCUGGCGGCGUGCCUAAUACAUGCAAGCAGAACGCUGAAGGAGGAGCUUGCUUCUCUGGAUGAGUUGCGAACGGGUGAGUAACGCGUAGGUAACCUGCCUGGUAGCGGGGGAUAACUAUUGGAAACGAUAGCUAAUACCGCAUAAUAGUAGAUGUCGCAUGACAUUUGCUUAAAAGGUGCAAUUGCAUCACUACCAGAUGGACCUGCGUUGUAUUAGCUAGUUGGUGAGGUAACGGCUCACCAAGGCAACGAUACAUAGCCGACCUGAGAGGGUGGUCGGCCACACUGGGACUGAGACACGGCCCAGACUCCUACGGGAGGCAGCAGUAGGGAAUCUUCGGCAAUGGACGGAAGUCUGACCGAGCAACGCCGCGUGGGUGAAGAAGGUUUUCGGAUCGUAAAGCUCUGUUGUAAGGGAAGAACGAGUGUGAGAGUGGAAAGUUCACACUGUGACGGUAUCUUACCAGAAAGGGACGGCUAACUACGUG